AAGUCGUAACAAGGUUUCCGUAGGUGAACCUGCGGAAGGAUCAUUAUCGUAGGGCUUCUGUCCUGUCGAGAUAGCGUCCUUGCCUAUUUUUUGGAGUACCUUUCGUUUCCUCAGCAGGCUUGCCUGCUACUGGGGACCCUUUAAACUCUUUGUAAAUACAGCAUCUGUCUGAAUAAAUAAACAAAAAUCAAAACUUUCAACAAUGGAUCUCUUGGUUCUG
rnacentral:misc_RNA from 1 species